rnacentral:rRNA from 2 species
GGUUGACCUCGGAUCAGGUAGGGAUACCCGCUGAACUUAAGCAUAUCAAUAAGCGGAGGAAAAGAAMCCAACAGGGAUUGCCCCAGUAACGGCGAGUGAAGCGGCAACAGCUCAAAUUUGGAAUCCGGCCCCGACGGGGCCCGAGUUGUAAUUUGCAGAGGGUGUUUCGGGCGCGACGCGGGUCUAAGUUCCUUGGAACAGGACGUCAUAGAGGGUGAGAAUCCCGUAUGUGACCGGCCGUCAAGCCCGGGCGAAACCCCUUCGACGAGUCGAGUUGUUUGGGAAUGCAGCUCUAAAUGGGUGGUAAAUUUCAUCUAAAGCUAAAUACCGGCCGGAGACCGAUAGCGCACAAGUAGAGUGAUCGAAAGAUGAAAAGCACUUUGAAAAGAGAGUCAAACAGUACGUGAAAUUGUUGAAAGGGAAGCGCUUGCGGCCAGACCUGCCCCCGGGCGAUCACCCGCCACUCGSUGGCGGCGCACUCGCCCGGGAUCAGGCCAGCAUCGGUUUGGGCGGCGGGACAAAGGGCCCGGGAAUGUAGCUCCCCCCGGGGAGUCUUAUAGCCCGGGCCGCCAUGCCGCCCGCCUGGACCGAGGACCGCGCUCCGGHUAGGAUGCUGGCGUAAUGGCCGUAAGCGACCCGUCUUGAAACACGGACCAAGGAGUCUAACAUCCAUGCGAGUGUUUGGGUGUCAAACCCACGCGCGGAAUGAAAGUGAACGGAGGUGGGACCCCGCGAGGGCGCACCAUCGACCGAUCCAGAAGUCUUCGGAUGGAUUUGAGUACGAGCAUGGCUGUUGGGACCCGAAAGAUGGUGAACUAUGCGUGGAUAGGGUGAAGCCAGAGGAAACUCUGGUGGAGGCUCGCAKCGGUUCUGACGUGCAAAUCGAUCGUCAAAUCUGCGCAUAGGGGCGAAAGACUAAUCGAACC